rnacentral:tRNA from 1 species
UCUUUUAAAGUAAAAUUUACACUUUAAUUUCGACUUAAAAAUUUGGUUAAAAAAUUCAUAACCUAAGAGAA